rnacentral:rRNA from 1 species
UACGGAGGAUGCGAGCGUUAUCCGGAUUUAUUGGGUUUAAAGGGAGCGUAGGUGGAACAAUAAGUCAGCCUGUGAAAGUUUGCGGCUCAACCGUAAAAUUGCAGUUGAUACUGUUGUUCUUGAGUGUAGUAGAGGUUAGCGGAAUUCGUGGUGUAGCGGUGAAAUGCUUAGAUAUCACGAAGAACUCCAAUUGCGUAGGCAGCUAACUAGGCUAUAACUGACACUGAGGCUCGAAAGUGUGGGUAUCAAACAGG